UAAUAAUACAUUUUAAGAGAUUAAUAAACACAGAUGAAUAUAUGCUCUUAUUGAUCCCGAAUGUAAUGAUAAAUCUCAUGUGGAGUUUUAUUUCUAAUGAAAACUAACAAACAAUAUGAUAAGAUCAUGUGAUAUUUUAAGCAUAUUCUAAAUUAUGUUUAGCAUUAUGACAGUGUUUUCUUUUGUGGAGCAGUGAGCCUGAUGAAAACAUGAUGAGGAGAAGAAGAAAAGCCAAUCCAAUAGAGGAGGCUAUACAGUUCUCCCUGAACAAUAAAGAUAAAAAUGGAUUCGAGAUCAGAUUUAUUAAUGACUUUAAAGGGAGAGGUGUAUUCAGUUGUACUGAGUUUGAGAAGGGAGAUUUUCUGAUGGAAUACAGAGGAGAUCUCAUAAGCAAAGAAGAAUGUGAGCGGAGGCAAAAAAAUAUAUCAUAAUGCCCUCAAAGUUUUCAUGUUUGAAUUUCGCUUCAAUGGAAAAUUUAUUUGUGUUGAUGCAGCUCGAGAUGAUGGCUCCCUUGGGAGACUUGUGAACGAUGACCAUAUUAACCCGAACUGCAGGAUGAAGACUAUCCAUGUGGAUGGGAAACCUCAUCUCUGUUUAUUUGCCAUAAGAAGCAUUUGCCCGGGGGAAGAGGUCACAUACAAUUAUGGCGUUUCAGAGUGCCCAUGGCGA